rnacentral:rRNA from 1 species
GAUGAACGCUGGCGGCGUGCUUAACACAUGCAAGUCGAACGGUGAAGCAGGAGCUUGCUCCUGUGGAUCAGUGGCGAACGGGUGAGUAACACGUGAGCAAUCUGCCCUGGACUCUGGGAUAAGCGUUGGAAACGACGUCUAAUACCGGAUACGAGGCGUGGGGGCAUCCCCAACGCCUGGAAAGAAUUUCGGUCCAGGAUGAGCUCGCGGCCUAUCAGGUAGUUGGUGAGGUAACGGCUCACCAAGCCUACGACGGGUAGCCGGCCUGAGAGGGUGACCGGCCACACUGGGACUGAGACACGGCCCAGACUCCUACGGGAGGCAGCAGUGGGGAAUAUUGCACAAUGGGCGCAAGCCUGAUGCAGCAACGCCGCGUGAGUGAUGAAGGCCUUAGGGUUGUAAAGCUCUUUCACCGAUGAAGAUAAUGACGGUAGUCGGAGAAGAAGCCCCGGCUAACUUCGUGCCAGCCGCCGCUGUAAAAC